AGUGGAAUUGCUGGGUCAUAUGGGGACUCUAUGUUUAACCUUUUGAGGAACUUCCAGACUCUUUACCAACGUGGCUGUACUAUUUACAUUCCCAACAGCAGU
rnacentral:pre_miRNA from 1 species